UACGAAGGGGGCUAGCGUUGUUCGGAUUUACUGGGCGUAAAGCGCACGUAGGCGGAUCGUUAAGUCGGGGGUGAAAUCCUGGAGCUCAACUCCAGAACUGCCUUCGAUACUGGCGAUCUAGAGUCCGGAAGAGGUGAGUGGAACUCCUAGUGUAGAGGUGGAAUUCGUAGAUAUUCGCAAGAACACCAGUGGCGAAGGCGGCUCACUGGCCCGGUACUGACGCUGAGGUGCGAAAGCGUGGGGAGCAAACAGG
rnacentral:rRNA from 1 species